rnacentral:rRNA from 1 species
UAACCUGCCCAAGAGAUCGGGAUAACACCUGGAAACAGAUGCUAAUACCGGAUAACAACAGAUGAUGCCUAUCAACUGUUUAAAAGAUGGUUCUGCUAUCACUCUUGGAUGGACCUGCGGUGCAUUAGCUAGUUGGUAGGGUAACGGCCUACCAAGGCGAUGAUGCAUAGCCGAGUUGAGAGACUGAUCGGCCACAUUGGGACUGAGACACGGCCCAAACUCCUACGGGAGGCAGCAGUU